rnacentral:rRNA from 1 species
CGUGUAGGCGGUCGGCAAAGUCGGAUGUGAAAUCUCUCGGCUCAACCGAGAAACUGCAUUCGAAACUGGUCGACUAGAGUGCGGGAGGGGCAAGUGGAACUCCAGGUGUAGCGGUGAAAUGCGUAGAUAUCUGGAGGAACGCCGGUGGCGAAAGCGACUUGCUGGACCGCAACUGACGCUGAGGCGCGAAAGCCAGGGGGAGCAAACG